CUUAGGACCGUUAUAGUUACGGCCGCCGUUUACUGGGGCUUCAGUUCAGAGCUUCGCUUACGCUAACCCCUCUCCUUAACCUUCCAGCACCGGGCAGGUGUCAGCCCCUAUACUUCGCCUUACGGCUUCGCAGAGACCUGUGUUUUUGCUAAACAGUCGCUUGGGCCUAUUCACUGCGGCUUUCCGCUAAGAAAGCACCCCUUCUCCCGAAGUUACGGGGUCAUUUUGGCGAGUUCCUUAACCAGAGUUCUCUCGCACACCUUAGGAUUCUCUCCUCGCCUACCUGUGUCGGU
rnacentral:rRNA from 1 species